GGGUUGUGAGGUUAAGCGACUAAGCGUACACGGUGGAUGCCCUGGCAGUCAGAGGCGAUGAAGGACGUGCUAAUCUGCGAAAAGCGUCGGUAAGGUGAUAUGAACCGUUACAGCCGGCGAUGUCCGAAUGGGGAAACCCAGUGUGAUUCGUCACACUAUCGUUAACUGAAUACAUAGGUUAACGAGGCGAACCGGGGGAACUGAAACAUCUAAGUACCCCGAGGAAAAGAAAUCAACCGAGAUUCCCCCAGUAGCGGCGAGCGAACGGGGAGCAGCCCAGAGUCUGAAUCAGCUUGUGUGUUAGUGGAACGGUCUGGAAAGUCCGACGGUACAGGGUGAUAGUCCCGUACACCAAAAUGCACAGGCUGUGAACUCGAAGAGUAGGGCGGGACACGUGGUAUCCUGUCUGAAUAUGGGGGGACCAUCCUCCAAGGCUAAAUACUCCUGACUGACCGAUAGUGAACCAGUACCGUGAGGGAAAGGCGAAAAGAACCCCGGCGAGGGGAGUGAAAAAGAACCUGAAACCGUGUACGUACAAGCAGUGGGAGCACCUUCGGGUGUGACUGCGUACCUUUUGUAUAAUGGGUCAGCGACUUAUAUUCUGUAGCAAGGUUAACCGUAUAGGGGAGCCGCAGGGAAACCGAGUCUUAACUGGGCGUUAAGUUGCAGGGUAUAGACCCGAAACCCGGUGAUCUAGCCAUGGGCAGGUUGAAGGUUGGGUAACACUAACUGGAGGACCGAACCGACUAAUGUUGAAAAAUUAGCGGAUGACUUGUGGCUGGGGGUGAAAGGCCAAUCAAACCGGGAGAUAGCUGGUUCUCCCCGAAAGCUAUUUAGGUAGCGCCUCGUGAACUCAUCUUCGGGGGUAGAGCACUGUUUCGGCUAGGGGGUCAUCCCGACUUACCAACCCGAUGCAAACUACGAAUACCGAAGAAUGUUAUCACGGGAGACACACGGCGGGUGCUAACGUCCGUCGUGAAGAGGGAAACAACCCAGACCGCCAGCUAAGGUCCCAAAGUCAUGGUUAAGUGGGAAACGAUGUGGGAAGGCACAGACAGCCAGGAUGUUGGCUUAGAAGCAGCCAUCAUUUAAAGAAAGCGUAAUAGCUCACUGGUCGAGUCGGCCUGCGCGGAAGAUGUAACGGGGCUAAACCAUGCACCGAAGCUGCGGCAGCGACACUAUGUGUUGUUGGGUAGGGGAGCGUUCUGUAAGCCUGCGAAGGUGUGCUGUGAGGCAUGCUGGAGGUAUCAGAAGUGCGAAUGCUGACAUAAGUAACGAUAAAGCGGGUGAAAAGCCCGCUCGCCGGAAGACCAAGGGUUCCUGUCCAACGUUAAUCGGGGCAGGGUGAGUCGACCCCUAAGGCGAGGCCGAAAGGCGUAGUCGAUGGGAAACAGGUUAAUAUUCCUGUACUUGGUGUUACUGCGAAGGGGGGACGGAGAAGGCUAUGUUAGCCGGGCGACGGUUGUCCCGGUUUAAGCAUGUAGGCUGGUUGUCCAGGCAAAUCCGGAUAAUCAAGGCUGAGGUGUGAUGACGAGGCACUACGGUGCUGAAGUAACAAAUGCCCUGCUUCCAGGAAAAGCCUCUAAGCAUCAGGUAACAUCAAAUCGUACCCCAAACCGACACAGGUGGUCAGGUAGAGAAUACCAAGGCGCUUGAGAGAACUCGGGUGAAGGAACUAGGCAAAAUGGUGCCGUAACUUCGGGAGAAGGCACGCUGGUGUGUAGGUGAAGUCCCUGCGGAUGGAGCUGAGACCAGUCGAAGAUACCAGCUGGCUGCAACUGUUUAUUAAAAACACAGCACUGUGCAAACACGAAAGUGGACGUAUACGGUGUGACGCCUGCCCGGUGCCGGAAGGUUAAUUGAUGGGGUUAUCCGUAAGGAGAAGCUCUUGAUCGAAGCCCCGGUAAACGGCGGCCGUAACUAUAACGGUCCUAAGGUAGCGAAAUUCCUUGUCGGGUAAGUUCCGACCUGCACGAAUGGCGUAAUGAUGGCCAGGCUGUCUCCACCCGAGACUCAGUGAAAUUGAACUCGCUGUGAAGAUGCAGUGUACCCGCGGCAAGACGGAAAGACCCCGUGAACCUUUACUAUAGCUUGACACUGAACAUUGAGCCUUGAUGUGUAGGAUAGGUGGGAGGCUUUGAAGCGUGGACGCCAGUCUGCGUGGAGCCAACCUUGAAAUACCACCCUUUAAUGUUUGAUGUUCUAACGUUGGCCCCUUACCGGGGUUGCGGACAGUGUCUGGUGGGUAGUUUGACUGGGGCGGUCUCCUCCCAAAGCGUAACGGAGGAGCACGAAGGUUAGCUAAUCCUGGUCGGACAUCAGGAGGUUAGUGCAAUGGCAUAAGCUAGCUUGACUGCGAGCGUGACGGCGCGAGCAGGUGCGAAAGCAGGUCAUAGUGAUCCGGUGGUUCUGAAUGGAAGGGCCAUCGCUCAACGGAUAAAAGGUACUCCGGGGAUAACAGGCUGAUACCGCCCAAGAGUUCAUAUCGACGGCGGUGUUUGGCACCUCGAUGUCGGCUCAUCACAUCCUGGGGCUGAAGUAGGUCCCAAGGGUAUGGCUGUUCGCCAUUUAAAGUGGUACGCGAGCUGGGUUUAGAACGUCGUGAGACAGUUCGGUCCCUAUCUGCCGUGGGCGCUGGAGAAUUGAGGGGGGCUGCUCCUAGUACGAGAGGACCGGAGUGGACGCAUCACUGGUGUUCGGGUUGUCAUGCCAAUGGCACUGCCCGGUAGCUAAAUGCGGAAGAGAUAAGUGCUGAAAGCAUCUAAGCACGAAACUUGCCCCGAGAUGAGUUCUCCCUGAGACUUUAAGUCUCCUGAAGGAACGUUAAAGACGAUGACGUUGAUAGGCCGGGUGUGUAAGCGCAGCGAUGCGUUGAGCUAACCGGUACUAAUGAACCGUGAGGCUUAACCUUACAACGCCGAAG
rnacentral:rRNA from 1 species